UACGGAGGGUGCGAGCGUUGUCCGGAAUCAUUGGGCGUAAAGGGCUCGUAGGCGGUUCGUCACGUCGGGAGUGAAAACUCGGAGCUUAACUCCGAGCCUGCUUCCGAUACGGGCAGACUAGAGGUAGGCAGGGGAGAGCGGAACUCCUGGUGUAGCGGUGGAAUGCGCAGAUAUCAGGAAGAACACCGGUGGCGAAGGCGGCUCUCUGGGCCGUAACUGACGCUGAGGAGCGAAAGCAUGGGGAGCGAAACAGG
rnacentral:rRNA from 1 species